AUGGCGGUCGGCCGUGCUCUGGAGGCACAGCUCUGCGUCCCGCCGCACCAUCUGCGUGUCACGGCGCACAAUCCGGAGGACUUCUUCGUCAUCUUCACGCAGCCGGCUCACCACGACAACGCGGUCCGCCGCGGCGUUCUGCGCGUCGACGGCGCCAGCUUCGCCAUCGCGCCGUGGGGAGAGAAUGACCACGCGGGCCACGACACCUUCAACCUCCACGUGCGCUGCGUCAUCGAGCAUCUACCCCGGCAGUAUUGGACGCUAGAGGGCGUCCAGGAGGUCUUCGGCGACAAGGUGCUUGUCGAUCGCCUCGACAGCCGCACCCUGGGGCGCGAUCACACCAAGACAUUCGCGUGCUGGGUGUGGGUCUGGGACAUGCCAUUCAUCCCGACCCGGCACACGUACUGGAAGCUGCCUCAAGGUGCCGGCCGGGUGGAGGAGAUGGAGGGCUUCUCGCCGCCGAACCGCCGCGUCGCCGUCCCGCCCGGCGCGGACCGCUAUGACAUGCUCAUCCACGUCGACCGCGUCGAGGAAUGGUCCCUCCUCUCCCCCAAGUCAUUGCACUCUGCGCAAAGUGGG
rnacentral:rRNA from 1 species